rnacentral:rRNA from 1 species
GACAGAGGGUGCAAACGUUGUUCGGAUUUACUGGGCGUAAAGCGUGCGUAGGUGGUUUGUUAAGUCUGUUGUGAAAGCCCCGGGCUCAACCUGGGAAUGGCAAUGGAUACUGGCAAGCUAGAGUGCGGUAGAGGGUAGUGGAAUUCCCGGUGUAGCGGUGAAAUGCGUAGAGAUCGGGAGGAACACCAGUGGCGAAGGCGGCUACCUGGACCAGCACUGACACUGAGGCACGAAAGCGUGGGGAGCAAACAGG